rnacentral:rRNA from 1 species
GACAGAGGUGCCAAGCGUUAGGCGGAAUCACUGGGCUUAAAGCGUGUGUAGGCGGGUGCCUAAGUACCUUGUGAAAUCCCACGGCUCAACCGUGGAACUGCUGGGUAUACUGGGUGCCUUGGGUCAUCUAGGGGCUGCCGGAACAAAUGGUGGAGCGGUGAAAUGCGUAGAUAUCAUUUGGAACGCCAACGGCGAAAGCAGGCAGCUGGGGAUGCACCGACGCUGAGACACGAAAGCCAGGGGAGCGAACGGGG